rnacentral:tRNA from 1 species
GACCGUAGCUCAACUGGUGAGAGAGCUCAGAGUACCAAUCUAGAGUCAGCGGGUUCAAAUCCCGCCGGCA